rnacentral:rRNA from 1 species
AUUGAACGCUGGCGGCAGGCCUAACACAUGCAAGUCGAGCGGAUGCAGGGAGCUUGCUCCUGGAUUCAGCGGCGGACGGGUGAGUAAUGCCUAGGAAUCUGCCUGGUAGAGGGGGAUAACGUCCGGAAACGGGCGCUAAUACCGCAUACGUCCUGAGGGAGAAAGUGGGGGAUCUUCGGACCUCACGCUCUCAGAUGAGCCUAGGUCGGAUUAGCUAGUUGGUGGGGUAAAGGCCUACCAAGGCGACGAUCCGUAACUGGUCUGAGAGGAUGAUCAGUCACACUGGAACUGAGACACGGUCCAGACUCCUACGGGAGGCAGCAGUGGGGAAUAUUGGACAAUGGGCGAAAGCCUGAUCCAGCCAUGCCGCGUGUGUGAAGAAGGUCUUCGGAUUGUAAAGCACUUUAAGUUGGGAGGAAGGGCAGUAAGUUAAUACCUUGCUGUUUUGACGUUACCAACAGAAUAAGCACCGGCUAACUUCGUG